AUUGUAAGAAGUCUGUCUCUGAUGCCAAUAUGUCUGCUGGCCACACAUUCCCUUGAUCUUAUCAUUAUCACAAUACAGUUGGUACAAUGGUAGAAUAGCGACCGGGAGUGAGAGAUUGGGAACCAUUCAAGUCAACAGACGUGCUAAUUCAAUCACAACAGGACGGCCAAUACACUAUGGCCUAAUUGAUAGGUGUUACAAGGACUGACUACAUCCGUCUUGGUAUGUAUAUUCAACACUACUGAUCAAAGCUUCGAAAACAAAUAAGAAGCAGCCUCUGGAAAGGUUCGUGGUUCAUUCUGACUCUGCUGAAUCCAAGGUGUCAUUCGUGCGCUUUGUCACUGCCGGUAUUGGAAAUAAACUUUGUACUUUUUCAUCACGUUCGAGAGACGUCCUUUUUUCCUUACAACUGGCGAGCCACCCAGCGAGGAAUUCCGAAAAAAAAAAAACCGGGGACACUAAGAAAUCCAGCAUAAAUAUGUGGGAGACCCUCUUGACAGUAAUACUACCGGUGAUGGCGAUGACACAAGAGUGCCCAGAGCAGCGGCCAGCACCUCUGUCUGGGAUAAUUGCAAGACCACACCAGGGCGCCCUGAUCAACAAUGUCCAAUGGGUCCAUAUUCCAGUCCUGGUGAACUUGACAGCAUGGUCUCCAGAUCUGGACGAGCACUGCAAAGGGGAGAGCGUGACCCAGAUGUACAAGGACCUCAUGACAACAGCAUUCCUGAAAUACCAUGACAUGGUGGCUGCCAACUUCCAGAGCGACAGCCCAACCCCCACACCUACCAGACGAAAACUGCUCGGGUUCCUGGAUGGUGUUCUAGGAGCUACGGGAACCGGGUUAGGUAUUUCAAAUUGGAUGGAUACCCUACCUGUCCAUCAAUGAUAGUCUUACAGGAUGCCAGAUAAAUACUACUUCAUUUUGCAUGACUCCCCCUACAGCUUGGUCCAUUGGGCCCUACCAUUUUCCAUAUGUAAAUACCACACGUCACAUUUUGUCUACUAGGCCGGAGGAUGAGUUAGGAUUUGUAGAAGAAAUCCCAGAAUUUGAUUUUGAACUACCCACGUUGGACAACAUGUUAAUGACUCUAAUGCAAAGAAAAGACAGUCAUGUCAUAAAAAUACAACAGGGGCUCCAGGGUAAGGAUGGUACUCUCAUCAGUCAAAUGCAUGAUGGAGAUGUAGACCUAGCCUACUCAAGUACAUUGUGGGAAUUGACAUUUAAAGCCGCCGUAUGCAUCUGUUUAAUACUGAUUUUGAUUCAAAGUGUUAUGAUUUGUUGUAUGUGUUCUGUCCUAAACCGACAAAGACUUAUAUUUUCAAAUGACAUUGUAAAGCAGUCCCCUUGGCUUGGGUAGUACCCAGUCUCAAAUAUCUCGGCCGCUGACUAUUUGUUAUAGUUUAUUAUUUAUCAGCAUGGCACCCAGGUUGUGGUGGUGAUAACAUCCACAGGGAAAGCAGAGGCAAUAGCAGACAGCGCUCAGAGUAGGACCAGUGGAAUGAGGUGUUGCUCCAAUGACGGGUAAGGUUCUCCGCGUGAUAGGAGAGCAACCUAAGGCAGGACAGCACCGCCACUGAUGAAGACUAUGUGCAUGUGAUGCUUUAUUGCAAAUAAGCAUCAAACGGGGGACUGUAAGAAGUCUGUCUCUGAUGCCAAUAUGUCUGCUGGCCACACAUUCCCUUGAUCUUAUCAUUAUCACAAUACAGUUGGUACAAUGGUAGAAUAGCGACCGGGAGUGAGAGAUUGGGAACCAUUCAAGUCAACAGACGUGCAAAUUCAAUCACAACAGGACGGCCAAUACACUAUGGCCUAAUUGAUAGGUGUUACAAGGACUGACUACAUCCGUCUUGGUAUGUAUAUUCAACACUACUGAUCAAAGCUUCGAAAACAAAUAAGAAGCAGCCUCUGGAAAGGUUCGUGGUUCAUUCUGACUCUGCUGAAUCCAAGGUGUCAUUCGUGCGCUUUGUCACUGCCGGUAUUGGAAAUAAACUUUGUACUUUUUCAUCA